AUUGAACGCUGGCGGCAUGCCUUACACAUGCAAGUCGAACGGUAACAGGUCUUCGGAUGCUGACGAGUGGCGAACGGGUGAGUAAUACAUCGGAACGUGCCUAGUAGUGGGGGAUAACUACUCGAAAGAGUGGCUAAUACCGCAUGGGAUCUACGGAUGAAAGCAGGGGAUCGCAAGACCUUGUGCUACUAGAGCGGCCGAUGGCAGAUUAGGUAGUUGGUGGGAUAAAAGCUUACCAAGCCGACGAUCUGUAGCUGGUCUGAGAGGACGAUCAGCCACACUGGGACUGAGACACGGCCCAGACUCCUACGGGAGGCAGCAGUGGGGAAUUUUGGACAAUGGGCGCAAGCCUGAUCCAGCAAUGCCGCGUGCAGGAUGAAGGCCUUCAGGUUGUAAACUGCUUUUGUACGGAACGAAAAGCCCUGGGUUAAUACCCUGGGGUCAUGACGGUACCGUAAGAAUAAGCACCGGCUAACUACGUGCCAGCCGCCGCAGUAACAC
rnacentral:rRNA from 1 species